rnacentral:lncRNA from 1 species
AAAAUGAAGAGGAAGAAGAACAGUGAAGAAGAGAGAGAAGAGAGAAAGAAAGGAACUGAAAAGUGAAAAAUGCAGUAAUGAAUAAUGUGUAGAACCUUCCGUCAAUGUUCAGCCUAUAUCAAAGAAUAUCUAAUGUGGGUGUGUGUAAUUACAUGUGUACCCCUGUAACCUAUACAAAAUUGUACAUACAAAUUAAAUAACUAAUGCCCUUGGGCUGCUGCUAGUUUGGACC